UUCACUGUGACCGGUACACGGGAUGGUACACACAUGUCACUAUACAAAUUGUGGGAUAUGUAUGCCAAAAAAAUUAAUAACUUAAAAAAUAAAAUUUUCCACCACUCUUAUUAAAACAUGCGAUGUACCACUUAUGUUCCCGUCACAAUUAAAAAUUUCUUGUCAAUGUCCAACCAUUUUAUUUUUCCAUUUCAUGUAAUCAAAACCCUAAAAAUUUAAUUGAAUGUUUGGCGUUGUAGUCAGUUGUGCACUCCAACCUGACUAAAAUAGGCAGCCCCGUUAUCCCAUCCAAUCCUCUCCCCUUCUUCAAAACCAUAACCCCGUCCCUCUCCAUAUAAAUUUUGUCACCCUACAAGCCCAAUUUCUCUCUCUCUAUCGUUCUCUCUCUGAAGCGAAAGCCUCCUCCCUCCACAACCUCCUUGUGAUUAUUUUGUCCGGCGACAAUGAGUCCCAAGGAUAGGAGGAGAUUUGCAGGAGAGAUAUUCAUCAAAACAAACAGCUUCUUCUCCAACGUCUGCCAAACAAGAAGAAGAAAUGAAGAAUCAUCAAACCCUAAUCCGUAACAUCUCUUCUGCAGAUAUUAAGAACAAGAGGAAGAAGAAGAAGAAGCAAAACAAGGCGAAACCGAAACGGUUAGGGUUGAUUCGUAUUGGGAG
rnacentral:lncRNA from 1 species